GACGAACGCUGGCGGCGUGCUUAACACAUGCAAGUCGAACGGAAAGGCCCUGCUUUUGUGGGGUGCUCGAGUGGCGAACGGGUGAGUAACACGUGAGUAACCUGCCCUUGACUUUGGGAUAACUUCAGGAAACUGGGGCUAAUACCGGAUAGGAGCUCCUGCGGCAUGGUGGGGGUUGGAAAGUUUCGGCGGUUGGGGAUGGACUCGCGGCUUAUCAGCUUGUUGGUGGGGUAGUGGCUUACCAAGGCUUUGACGGGUAGCCGGCCUGAGAGGGUGACCGGCCACAUUGGGACUGCGGUACGGCGCAGACUCCUACGGGAGGCAGCAGUGGGGAAUAUUGCACAAUGGGCGGAAGCCUGAUGCAGCAACGCCGCGUGCGGGAUGACGGCCUUCGGGUUGUAAACCGCUUUCGCCUGUGACGAAGCGUGAGUGACGGUAAUGGGUAAAGAAGCACCGGCUAACUACGUG
rnacentral:rRNA from 1 species